rnacentral:rRNA from 1 species
UAGAGUUUGAUCCUGGCUCAGAUUGAACGCUGGCGGCAUGCCUUACACAUGCAAGUCGAACGGCAGCACGGGUGCUUGCACCUGGUGGCGAGUGGCGAACGGGUGAGUAAUACAUCGGAACAUGUCCUGUAGUGGGGGAUAGCCCGGCGAAAGCCGGAUUAAUACCGCAUACGAUCUACGGAUGAAAGCGGGGGACCUUCGGGCCUCGCGCUAUAGGGUUGGCCGAUGGCUGAUUAGCUAGUUGGUGGGGUAAAGGCCUACCAAGGCGACGAUCAGUAGCUGGUCUGAGAGGACGACCAGCCACACUGGGACUGAGACACGGCCCAGACUCCUACGGGAGGCAGCAGUGGGGAAUUUUGGACAAUGGGCGAAAGCCUGAUCCAGCAAUGCCGCGUGUGUGAAGAAGGCCUUCGGGUUGUAAAGCACUUUUGUCCGGAAAGAAAUCCUUGGCUCUAAUACAGUCGGGGGAUGACGGUACCGGAAGAAUAAGCACCGGCUAACUACGUGCCAGCAGCCGCGGUAAUACGUAGGGUGCGAGCGUUAAUCGGAAUUACUGGGCGUAAAGCGUGCGCAGGCGGUCUGUUAAGACAGAUGUGAAAUCCCCGGGCUCAACCUGGGAACUGCAUUUGUGACUGGCAGGCUAGAGUAUGGCAGAGGGGGGUAGAAUUCCACGUGUAGCAGUGAAAUGCGUAGAGAUGUGGAGGAAUACCGAUGGCGAAGGCAGCCCCCUGGGCCAAUACUGACGCUCAUGCACGAAAGCGUGGGGAGCAAACAGGAUUAGAUACCCUGGUAGUCCACGCCCUAAACGAUGUCAACUAGUUGUUGGGGAUUCAUUUCCUUAGUAACGUAGCUAACGCGUGAAGUUGACCGCCUGGGGAGUACGGUCGCAAGAUUAAAACUCAAAGGAAUUGACGGGGACCCGCACAAGCGGUGGAUGAUGUGGAUUAAUUCGAUGCAACGCGAAAAACCUUACCUACCCUUGACAUGGUCGGAAUCCUGAAGAGAUUCGGGAGUGCUCGAAAGAGAACCGGCGCACAGGUGCUGCAUGGCUGUCGUCAGCUCGUGUCGUGAGAUGUUGGGUUAAGUCCCGCAACGAGCGCAACCCUUGUCCUUAGUUGCUACGCAAGAGCACUCUAAGGAGACUGCCGGUGACAAACCGGAGGAAGGUGGGGAUGACGUCAAGUCCUCAUGGCCCUUAUGGGUAGGGCUUCACACGUCAUACAAUGGUCGGAACAGAGGGUUGCCAACCCGCGAGGGGGAGCUAAUCCCAGAAAACCGAUCGUAGUCCGGAUUGCACUCUGCAACUCGAGUGCAUGAAGCUGGAAUCGCUAGUAAUCGCGGAUCAGCAUGCCGCGGUG